GCCCCGCCCACUCCUCUGUGAUUGGCCAGGUCGCCCAGGCCACGCCCCGAGUACGUAUACGUGGGGGCGGGCCCGAGGCUGACAUGGAGGGACUGGGCAGAGCUGUGGCCGCCAGGAGCGGGACGCGGGGCUGCUGUCCCGCGUCCGGCUCUGGAGACCGAGGGGCUGCGGUGCCUGCACGUCCCUGUGGGCUCCCCGCUGGCCACCUGCGGCCGGUACAUGGUCUUCAGCUGCGUCCUUUCGUACCUGAUCUCUCAGCAGCUUUCCGCACGCCCGCGAGCCUUGGGGCAGAGGCAGCUGGACCGAGCCGGCUACUGUGGAACCUGACGAUGCUGUGAAACGACAAGAGGCCUUAGCAGCUGCUGGCCUGAAAAUGCAGGAAGAGCUCAGCGCACAGGUGGGAAAGCACAAGGAAAAACCUCAAGACACGUAGGAAGUGCUUUGCAUGGGUGGCCCUAACGAUGUGAGGCCGAGUGGGUAAAGCUGAGUGCACACCCUCGGGUGGGUCCUGGGACCAGCUCGCCUGCAGCACCGUGUCCAGUAGAACUGGGUGGCUGCUCGGGCGGAGUGUCUGGUUGGGGCAGACGCUCGUGGUUCCCUCACAGCAGUGCUUCACGUAACAGAGGUCUGUGUGUGUGUGUGCACGUGCCACACCACCAGACACACAGUCCACGUUCUGUGU